GCGUGCCUCGGCAUCAGCGU
rnacentral:snRNA from 1 species